rnacentral:ncRNA from 2 species
GAAUUAGCGAUGAAACAAGGUGCCUUUGAUUCACAUCAAGGGAUAACAGGGAAUCGGGUGCAACUCCCGAGCGGUCCCGCCACUGUAAGGAAGAGCCAGCUUUCAACAGGUCACUCGGUUGCUCCGGGGAAGACGAAGGCCAGCGAUGAUCCCGAGCCAGGAGACCUACCUUGUUUGCGCACACACG